UUUUUUUUUUCCUUUCUUUACUCAGAAAAUGACUGAUGUUUUAACUCCUUGGUGCACACUCAUUAAUUAAGAACUGAACGGUUGCUGUAUGAAGUAGCUUGAUGUUAAUGUGACGGAAAGAGUUCUUUCUGGCAAGUCAAAUGAUUUACUCGAUGGCCCAAAUGGCAGCUCAGGCCAGCGUCCGAUCCGGAGGGCAGUUAUCCUCACACUCUGCAUCUUGUCAGCACUCUCAGCCAAGGUAUCAGUGGCUGCUUUCCAACUGGAGCCUUACCCUGACAAAAGAGAAUGCAGUACACGGGAAAGCUUUUUGAUCUGUUCAGUUCACUUCUUCCCUCCAAACUGUGUUUGGCAGCAAGUUGCGAGCAAGCUCAGGAAUUGCACGGAGAGCAUCACCACUCUGGGAAUUCACCCUCCUCAGCAGGAGCUGCUCCUGGACCAUUCCUCAGCCACACAGCAGAGAAAUCCCUCUGCUGACUUCUGCUUUAAUUAUAUUUUAAAAAUUCAGCCUCUAGUCUGUGUUCCAUUAUAAUAAUAGCAAUAAUUAAAAAUACUUCAAACGACGAGUCCUCUAAACCUGCUGUUCCAUCUAGGCUUUUUGGCACCGCUCACUUCCUUUCUUGACUGACAUCCUCAGGGAACCAGAUUGAUGGUUCUUCUAUUCUAUUCCUGUUGCAGGGCUGUACUGUGUUCUCUCAGCACAUGUAAACUGCUAGGUAAUAUUUGUGUUGGCAACUAACUUACAUACUUUAUAGAAACAGACCUCUAUUUGACCCGCCAUGCAGCUCCCACACACAAUUUGGUCUGCUCCUUUAAACUGUUUCCUUCUGCUGCAACACGUACCCCAUUCCAUACCUCCAUUUCUAGCCUGUUUAAAAACGACACAUCCAGAACAGAGCUUAUGUGCUUAAAGACAGCAGCCCAGCUACAAAAGCCAAGCCUGCAGAACGUUCUUAUGCAAGAAUACCAAAGAAAAUUAUUAUACCGCUUGCAUGUACAGGUCCUGGUUUUCCUUCUACAAAGAUUGCUUCAACUGAACAUUUAGAUGGAAAAAAGCUAUGAAAAGUUCUGCAAAAAAAGACAUCAAGACAGAGAUUUCUGUGAUAAGACUCUGAUGGCUGUAGCAUGCUUUAGGGGGCUGGGAAAGGGAUGUUGGGGGAAUUUCUUUAAAAUACAGUUCAAUUUUAGCUAUUUAGGCAUCCCCUCAGAACAGACUUUCACACCAGAACUCUUCCUUCCUUGCCACCACACAGAAUGAAAGACAAACCAACAAAUCAAGGUGUCCAGAGGAUCAAAUGAAUUCCCAUUAUCCAUUUAUACCGCAGCAGUUUAUCAGCAACUCCAUUUAAAGCCAACAGAGCUAAACCAGCACACAAGUGAUGCAAAAAGAGGCGAAAUCUGGCUGGCACAUGCCAGGGCGAGUGCAGCUGCAGUGCGAGCAGAGGACUGUGCAGUCACAUCAUGUGACAGGAGCAGCACUGGCAGCAGAGGAGGCAGAGCUACAGCCCCCGUCCUCCCACCUUCCUAAAUCUCAGCCCUCAGUGCAACGUUACCAGCAACACAAUCUCAUUUCGAUGCAGAACUGACUCAGGUUAUAAGCUUCUCAAUAUUUUGAGUUGUUAUUCUCCGUUUUUAUUACUUCCCUCCACCAAAUAAAAGAGGAAUAGAGAGGUGAAUAACAACACAGGCAAACUAUGUAUUCCUCCCACUGCUAAGCACUUUCAGCAUUUUAUCACUUGUAGAUCUAGUUUCUCAACUGAGCAGGGUGAACACAGACCACGGCGCUGCUGCUGCAUCGUUCUCACAUGUAGCACUUAGCCCAAGUAGUCAUCUUCGUAAUAGAAUCUUCCAAUGCUUGUAAGCGACAUGGAUUGCCAAUUGAAUUUUGAUGCUGUAUUGCACCUGUAUUUCAAGAUAAAACAAUGAUCACAACCUCCUUUGUAGCACAGCAAAAGAUUUCUGCUCUCCAUUGAGUUUCGAGGAAUGUUUUUUGUAUUUUCUGUAGCAAAGAACCUGGCUAUCACAUUUGUGUAGGCUAGCUGUAUUAUUUCAGCACGAUUGGAGAAUUAUGCUCUUUGCUUCUACUUAGGUGACUCAGUUUCUUUCAUUUAACAUAAAUUGUGAUCCAUUUUAUCAAAACAUUUUGAGAGUGACUUAUCUGAUUUGAAAACAAAGCAUCUGCUUUUCUACAAACAUGCCCUACAGUCAGCUAUUACGCUUCUUAAUCGCUCCCUCAACAGCCUGAGCCAGGACAGUUACAACUGCUACACUUCAGGGUUCACACAAGGUGAGAAGAUGCACCAGGCAGGAACUGCAUCUGCAAACUUCCACAGCAAGAGCCAUACCAGGAUGAUCUUCCAGGAUUUCUGAAGGCUGCUACCAACACUGCAGUUCUGUUGCUCGCAGGAAUGGUGGGAGAGCACACGCAUGCUGGGAGACUCACUUAUACCAGCAUUUUAAGUCAUCAUGUGGCUCAACAGUGCUGCUUUGCAUCAGCUUAGACAAGAUACUGAAAAAUAUGGGUUGAAUUUGGACAGCUCUUGCAAAAUCUAGCAGUUUUUUAUAUUAAAGGAUCCAUUUUGCAGGUUGGAGGACUAGAAUUGCUUAGCCAAGACACAGUUUAACCACAGGAGCUCGGAACCUGGUUAAUGAAGUACAGAAGUGUGACUCAUACUUUGAAGGGAACAGGUCCUAUUCUGUGCUGGGAGAUUAGACCCAGACUCUAGAGACCCACAGUCUUGAUCCUCAAUGUUUUACCUGGAACAGCAUUUGGUUAUUGACAUUUUUAUAGCCAGCAAUAGGUAAGAAAUUUUGGGGGUGUUGACACAACAUAACAAUCAUGCAGCUUCCACCCUCAAAGGCAUUUCACAUCACCUAUUGUCCAACACAUUUCUCAGUACAAAACAAGAAUUUGGUGAGGUGGCAGUUGCUGAGAUAAAAGUUUAAAAUCUGCACAAAUCCAAGAUGGUUCAAUGGAACCUGCAGUUUGGAUACCGAGCACAGACAGCUCUUGUGAAACCCAGCAACAUUCCACCCGAAAGGAUUCACUUGCCGAUGCAGAAAUGCAGCUACCUGUCAAAAGCACACUAAACACCUCCAGCCCCACCAGCUGGGAGGGGGAAGGUAACCUCAAGAAUGCAGAAGUUAAUGAAGAGGGGGCCGUUCUCGUAAUGAUCGCGGUUCCGUUGCGAACCAAGGCCUAAGCAAAAGACGUGUCACAUCGUAUUCCUCUUCCCCGUCCGCAGCAGACAGCGGCGAGCGCGGCUCCGUGCACCCAGGCACAGGGCCUCGGCAGCCUCCACCGCCAUCGCAGCCCGGGCACGGAGCACAGACCCCGCGGGGAGCUGCGGCUCGCUUCAGAAAGCGCCGAACACCGCUUCGGAGCCCGCCCGCCGCCGGGAGCUGCCCACCGGUGCGGGAUGCUCCGCGCAGCCCCGGCCGCCCCCGCCCGCACCUGCCGCGCCGCCCGCUCCCGCCUUACCUGGGCUUCCGCUUGCGGCAGGGCUCCUCCGCCGGGCCUGGAGCUCUGAGGGGACAAGACAGCGGUGAGAGGCGAGGCAGCGGUGAGGGGCGCGCCGCCGCCGGGCCUGCCCCGAGGCGCCCGCAGCCGCCGCCGCCGCUCCCGCCCGCCCGCGCCACCGCCCCGCCCGCGCCUCGCCGCUCCGCCCCCCGCACCUGGAGGCUGGGCCGGUGCGGGGCAGGCGCUGCCGGGCGACUCCUCUCACCAUCCGCGCCGCCUCCCACAGCUCCCGGCCAGAGCCGCCAGCGCCGCCGCGGCGAAGGCUUCGGCUGC
ensembl:lncRNA